rnacentral:tRNA from 1 species
GCCCCGGUGGCGGAAUGGCAUACGCAGCAGCUUGAGGGGUUGUGCCCUAUGGGCGUGGAGGUUCGAGUCCUCUCCGGGGCA